rfam:Bombyx mori DNA, contig: Bm_scaf87_contig33885, strain: p50T/Dazao, build 2, whole genome shotgun sequence.
UUAACUUAAAUUUGUAUGGAGUUAGAAUGUAUGCCUACGAUGCUGUUCCAACUGCAUACAAAUUUGACUUA